CGUAAAGAGCUCGUAGGUGGUUUGUCGCGUUGUUCGUGAAAUCUCACGGCUUAACUGUGAGCGUGCGGGCGAUACGGGCAGACUUGAGUACUGCAGGGGAGACUGGAAUUCCUGGUGUAGCGGUGGAAUGCGCAGAUAUCAGGAGGAACACCGGUGGCGAAGGCGGGUCUCUGGGCAGUAACUGACGCUGAGGAGCGAAAGCGUGGGGAGCGAACAGGAUUAGAUACCCUGGUAGUCCACGCCGUAAACGGUGGGUACUAGGUGUGGGUUUCCCUCCUUGGGAUCCGUGCCGUAGCUAACGCAUUAAGUACCCCGCCUGGGGAGUACGGCCGCAAGGCUAAAACUCAAAGAAAUUGACGGGGGCCCGCACAAGCGGCGGAGCAUGUGGAUUAAUUCGAUGCAACGCGAAGAACCUUACCUGGGUUUGACAUGCACAGGACGCCGGCAGAGAUGUCGGUUCCCUUGUGGCCUGUGUGCAGGUGGUGCAUGGCUGUCGUCAGCUCGUGUCGUGAGAUGUUGGGUUAAGUCCCGCAACGAGCGCAACCCUUGUCUCAUGUUGCCAGCGGGUAAUGCCGGGGACUCGUGAGAGACUGCCGGGGUCAACUCGGAGGAAGGUGGGGAUGACGUCAAGUCAUCAUGCCCCUUAUGUCCAGGGCUUCACACAUGCUACAAUGGCCGGUACAAAGGGCUGCGAUGCCGCGAGGUUAAGCGAAUCCUUUUAAAGCCGGUCUCAGUUCGGAUCGGGGUCUGCAACUCGACCCCGUGAAGUCGGAGUCGCUAGU
rnacentral:rRNA from 1 species